rnacentral:rRNA from 1 species
GUUGCCAGCAUUUAAGGUGGGGACUCAGAUGAGACUGCCGGUGACAAACCGGAGGAAGGUGGGGACGACGUCAAGUCAUCAUGGCCCUUAUGUCCUGGGCUACACACGUGCUACAAUGGCCGGUACAGAGUGAAGCGAAACCGCGAGGUGAAGCAAAACGCAGAAAGCCGGUCUCAGUACGGAUUGGAGUCUGAAACUCGACUUCAUGAAGUUGGAAUCGCUAGUAAUCGCGCAUCAGCAUGGCGCGGUGAAUACGUUCCCGGGCCUU